GAGGAUUUAGCUUAAUUAAAGUGGUUGAUUUG
rnacentral:tRNA from 1 species